rnacentral:rRNA from 1 species
GACGAACGCUGGCGGCGUGCUUAACACAUGCAAGUCGAGCGGUAAGGCCCUUUCGGGGGUACACGAGCGGCGAACGGGUGAGUAACACGUGGGUGACCUGCCCUUAGCUCUGGGAUAAGCCUGGGAAACUGGGUCUAAUACCGGAUAUGACUCCAUGACGCAUGUUGUGGGGUGGAAAGCCUUGUGCGGCUAGGGAUGGGCCCGCGGCCUAUCAGCUUGUUGGUGGGGUGAUGGCCUACCAAGGCGACGACGGGUAGCCGGCCUGAGAGGGCGACCGGCCACACUGGGGACUGAGACACGGCCCACGACUCCUACGGGAGGGCAGCAGUGGGGAAGUCUUGCGCAAUGGGCGAAGCCUGACGCAGCGACGCCGCGUGAGGGAUGACGCCUC